rnacentral:rRNA from 1 species
GAUGAACGCUGGCGGCGUGCUUAACACAUGCAAGUCGAACGAACCUUCGGGUUAGUGGCGGACGGGUGAGUAACGCGUGGGAAUCUGCCCUCAGGAGGGGGAUAACGGUUGGAAACGGCCGCUAAUACCCCAUAUGCCGAGAGGUGAAAUGAAUUUCGCCUGAGGAUGAGCCCGCGUCUGAUUAGCUAGUUGGUGAGGUAAGAGCUCACCAAGGCAUCGAUCAGUAGCUGGUCUGAGAGGAUGAUCAGCCACACUGGGACUGAGACACGGCCCAGACUCCUACGGGAGGCAGCAGUGGGGAAUUUUCCGCAAUGGGCGAAAGCCUGACGGAGCAACGCCGCGUGAGGGAUGAAGGCCUCUGGGCUGUAAACCUCUUUUAUCAAGGAAGAAGAUCUGACGGUACUUGAUGAAUAAGCCACGGCUAAUUCCGUGCC